AAGGGGGGGACAGAUUGGUUAUGUGGCUGACUUGAAAUUAGCAUAAGGGGGUUCAAUUCCCUCUCUCCUUG
rnacentral:tRNA from 1 species